AGGGUACAGCGAAGAUACUAUCCAUUACACCCUUUUGGUUGAACAACGGUUUCCACCCAGUUUUCCAGCCGUUUCAAUGGUGUUGGGGCUGUGUGUGGGGCUGCUGUGAGACUGAACCCCUUGAACCUUAUCCAUCCAACCUUUGAAUCGGUUUUCUCUCACCCCACCACGGUUUUUCUUUUUUUCAUACAUCAAAUCAAGGCCCUCUUUUCUAUGUAUUUCGGGCAAGCAAUGGAAGGGUACAUAUAUAACUGGCGCGAGAGGGGUAAGGACGUGCUGAUGUUUCUCAGUGUGCUAUGCGCCGGCCGGAGAUAUCAUCUGUCAGGAGGUCUCAGAU
rnacentral:misc_RNA from 1 species